GAUGAACGCUAGCUACAGGCUUAACACAUGCAAGUCGAGGGGAAACGACAUCGAAAGCUUGCUUUUGAUGGGCGUCGACCGGCGCACGGGUGAGUAACGCGUAUCCAACCUGCCCACCACUUGGGGAUAACCUUGCGAAAGUAAGACUAAUACCCAAUGAUAUCCCACGAAGACAUCUGAAUGGGAUUAAAGAUUUAUCGGUGAUGGAUGGGGAUGCGUCUGAUUAGCUUGUUGGCGGGGUAACGGCCCACCAAGGCAACGAUCAGUAGGGGUUCUGAGAGGAAGGUCCCCCACAUUGAAACUGAGACACGGUCCAAACUCCUACGGGAGGCAGCAGUGAGGAAUAUUGGUCAAUGGGCGAGAGCCUGAACCAGCCAAGUAGCGUGCAGGAAGACGGCCCUAUGGGUUGUAAACUGCUUUUAUAAGGGAAUAAAGUGGGUCACGUGUGACUUUUUGCAUGUACCUUAUGAAUAAGGACCGGCUAAUUCCGUG
rnacentral:rRNA from 1 species